rnacentral:rRNA from 1 species
UACGGAGGGUGCAAGCAUUAAUCGGAUUUAUUGGGUGUAAAGAGCAUGUAGGCGGGUAAGCAAGUCAGAUGUGAAAUUUCGAAGCUCAACUUCGAAGCUGCAUUUGAAACUACUUAUCUUGAGGGUAGACGGAGAAAACGGAAUUCCAAGUGUAGCGGUGAAAUGCGUAGAUAUUUGGAAGAACACCGGUGGCGAAAGCGGUUUUCUAGUUUAUUCCUGACGCUGAGAUGCGAGAGCAAGUGGAGCAAACAGG